rnacentral:rRNA from 1 species
UACGAAGGGGGCUAGCGUUGCUCGGAAUCACUGGGCGUAAAGCGCACGUAGGCGGAUUGUUAAGUCAGGGGUGAAAUCCUGGAGCUCAACUCCAGAACUGCCUUUGAUACUGGCGAUCUUGAGUCCGGGAGAGGUGAGUGGAACUCCGAGUGUAGAGGUGAAAUUCGUAGAGAUGUGGAGGAACACCAGUGGCGAAGGCGGCUCUUUGGUCUGUAACUGACGCUGAGGCGCGAAAGCGUGGGGAUCAAACAGG